GCCCGCCUAGCUCAAUCGGAUAGAGCGUCAGACUUUUAAGGCGGGACAGUCUAAAUCUGAAGGCUGCGAGUUCGACCCUCGCGGUGGGCU